AUGGCGCAUUGAUACCGUCUGCUGUUUUCAGUCUGUCUCAGUGAUGCGGCUUGUCUUAAAAAAAAAAAAUAUUAAUUCCAUGUCUUUUAUGCAUUUUUUUCCACUUUCAAAUUAUCCUGCGGGCCUGAUCGAACCUCCUUGGGGGCCGGUUCCGGCCCGCGGGCCGUAUGUUUGACACCCCUGAUCUAGAGCGUGUACCGGGAAGGGUCUAACUAUAGGAAAAAUGGGGAUCCCUAACCUAAUGUCUAAUGCUCUGUCGAUAAAAUUCCCAGGUGCGCCUGAAUCGAUGAGUGCAUUAUGCUGGGAAUGUGGGGAAAACUUGGAGACAGCCAAGUUGGAGACAACCCUGGUUGUGCUGGUCGAAGCACUGGAGAGACUUCCUGUCUCUCCCAGCGGUCCAUGGUCUGGACAACGCGAUCCAUCAUGGCCCCUAAGAUGAUAUAACAUGGCCGAAUGUUCCUGGACGCGCUCCUCAACUCCUCUAACCGGGGUACCUGCUCCUGCUGACUCCAUUGGAGGUGUGUAAUUCUAUCAAGGUGUGUACUAGAGGCAAAGUCAGUUGCAGGAGAGCAGAGUAAUGAUAACAGGCACACUUUUUUUCCGUUCCAAAACAAGAGCACUACAUAAAUAAAACGCGCUCAAAACACGGAACAUAACAAAAGUAAGGCGUGUAACAAAACACCACAAUAACAUGAAACAAUUACACGCAAAUACAUGAUGGGAAAACGAAGGGUUAAAUACAAGUAGAUUGAUUGGGGAAAUGAAAACCAGGUGUGUAUGAAACAAGACAAGACCAAUGGAUAUAUGAAAAAUGGAGCGGCGAUGGCUAGAAAGCCGGUGACGUCGAUCGCCGAAUGCCGCCCGAACAAAAUCGUGACAUAUGUGAAUGCCAGUUAGAUGAUGAUCCGAUCGCAUUCUAUCUCCUAUUAAAACUUUCUUGACGUUUGAUGCAAGAUAGAAAGAGAGAGAAAGUAGUCAAGAUGACUAGCUUGAUUAAGUCUCCUCCAUGUAUAUCUCCCUAGGUCGGGGUUUUUAUUCUCCAAAUAUCCACUAUUUCUAAUGUGUCCAUAAUAUUUGUGAUUUCCUUACCUCUUAAGCCCACCCGACACGCAGGCGCCCCAUCUAGCCAUCUGGAAAUGCAAAUGCGCUACGCUAAAUGCUAAUAGCACUCGUUAAAACUCAAACGUUCAUUAAAACACACAUGCAGGGUACUGAAUUAAAGCUACACUCGUUGUGAAUCCAGCCAACAAGUCCGAUUUUUAAAAUGCUUUUCGGCGAAAGCAUGAGAAGCUAUUAUCUGAUAGCAUGCAACACCCCGAAAUACCUGAAGGGGACGUAAACAAAAUAAUUAGCAUAGCCGGCGCUACGCAAAACGCAUAAAUAAAAUAUAAAACAUUCAUUACCUUUGACGAGCUUCUUUGUUGGCACUCCUAGAUGUCCCAUAAACAUCACUAUUGUGUCUUUUUUUCUCGAUUAAAUCGGUCCAUAUAUACCCUAAAUAUCGAUCUAUGAAAAGUGUGUGAUCCAGGAAAAAACACUGUUUUAAAACUCAACGUCAUUUUUUUUUAUUAAAAAAGUUGACGAUACACUUUCAGAAAACACUUCGAAAUACUUUUGUAAUCCAACUUUAGGUAUUAGCAAACGUUAAUAAUCUAUCAAAUUGAUCACAGGGCGAUGUGUAUUCAAUAGCUCCACGUCUUCAAAUCAUGGUCGGAAAUUUCUCCUCCAAAACAUCCUGUCGGAGACCGGAAGGAAUGGGCUCUCUCUUACUCGUUUGACCAAGAAACAAAGCCCAGACAAUUGACAAGACUGGCGACAUCGUGUGGAAGCUGUAGGACUUGCAAUCUCAGCCCCAUGUAAUUUGCUUUCCCAUAGACAAUACAUGCAAGUGGCGCAUGGAUAUUUUUCCCAGUUUUCGGUGAUCAGUUUUUCUUGCGCUUUUCGAUGAAACACACGCUCUGUUAUAGUCACAGCCGUGAUUUAACCAGUUUUAGAAACGUCAGAGUGUUUUCUAUCCACACAUACUAAUCAUAUGCAUAUACUAUAUUCCUGGCAUGAGUAGCAGGACGCUGAAAUGUUGCGCGAUUUUUAACAGAAUGUUCGAAAAAGUAAGGGGUAACCUUAAGAGGUUUUAAGGGUACGGUGAUGAUAGUUUGUGGAGUGAUUACCUUUACGGUCCAUUGACGUACUUAACACUGUGUUAUAGUCUCCUACCAUAAGGAUUAGAUCAUUUGUUGCCUGUAAAUUCAAUAAAUUGGUAUAAAUGUUUUCGAAGAAGUGUGGAACAUCCUGAUCUGGACCAUAUAGAUUAAUGAGCCAAAUCUCUUUUUCGUCCACUUUCAUUUUCAAAACGAUCCACCUUCGACAUUUUUAUUAAUUAAUAUCAUCACACCCUUUGAGUUCCUUUGUCCAUGACAGAAAAUUAUUUCACCACCCCAUUCCCUUUUCCACGCAACUUCAUCUAAGGAUGUAGAGUGAGUUUCCUGUAAACAGUAUAUGUUAUAUUCCUUUUCUGUUAGCAUUGUAAAGACUGAUCUUGUUUUUUUAUAAUCUGCUAAACCGUUACAAUUAUAACUAGCUAUACUUAUUUCACCCAUUACCAUAACUACCGUAAUUGCUGGACUAUUAAGCGCACCUGAAUAUAAACCGCACCCACUAAAAGCCGCACAUAUCUAUAAGCCGCAGGUGCCUACCGGUACAUUGAAACAAAUUAACUUUACACAGCCUUUAAACGAAAUACAUUUUGUAAUAAAAAUAAAUAGGCUUUAACGAAACACGGCUUGUAACAAAAAUUUAAACAGUAGCCUACCAAGAAAGUCAUUGGUCACUAUCUUCCUUCUCCUGUGCACUGAAACCACUGAAGUCAUCUCCUUCGGUGUCGGAGUUGAAUAGCUUCAGAAUUGCUUCAUCCGAUGUUGGAUCGUUUUCAUUGUCGCUCUCGUCACUUUCAUCCAGAGGCAAAUACCCCGCUGAGCUCAUGCUGCCCCUUCAACACGCAGCAGUCCAGCUUUUCGAAACCCGUUGAUGAUAGUGGAUUUUUUGACAAUGCUCCACGCUGUCAGGACCCACUGGCAGACUUUACCAUAAGAUGCUCUUCGCCUGCGGCCCGUUUUAGUGAAGGAUUUCUCCCCACUUGUCAUCCAAGCUUCCCACUGAACAAGGAGCGCCACCUUAAAUGCAUGAUUUACACUGAUGUCGAUUGGCUGCAAAUACUUUGGGCCAUCUGCUUUUCUUCCCUCUGAAAGCUUUUGUUGUCUUUCUGCACUGAGUCAGUUCCUCACACUGCUGUUUCCAAUGUCUUAUCAUCGACUCAUUAAGGCCACGCUCCCAUGCAGCAGUUCUAUUUCCUUUUCCAACAGCCAGAUUUAUCGCCUUCAACUUGAAAGCUGCAUCAUAUGCAUUUAUCCGUGUCUUUGCCAUGAUGAGGGUGACAAAAUUACUACCGUAUUCAGAAUGAUGGGAAGUUUGAGCGCGCUCGAUUUACGUCACAUUAUGUGACGGUGCUCAGUUUUUUGGCGGCAUGAAUCUUGUGAAAGCGGGAAAAAUACAUAAAUUAGCCGCGUCAUUGUAUAAACCACAAGGUUCAACGUGUGGGAAUAAAGUAGCGGCUUAUAGUCCGGAAAUUACGGUAGAUACUAUUCUCAGGCUAAAUUGACCAUAAUUAGUGCUUGUAAAGUUACUGCUAUCAGGGGUAUUAUGAAGGUCAAAAUAAGAGCCUUCAAAUGUCUGAUAUUUAUAAUUCAAGAAAUAGGUUCUAAAAAUAUAUUUUUUAUUCCCUUGCCUGUUUGCCUCUGAGCCAAUGCCACAGAUGUUAGAAAAUUGAUACAAAUUAUGUGUGUAACAAAUCUGAGUAUGUCACGUUCUGACCUUUAUUUCCUGUGUUUUGUAUUUAGUUAGUAUGGUCAGGGCGUGAGUUGGGUGGGCAGUCUAUGUUUGUUUUUCUAGGUUUUGGGAAUUUCUAUGUUUCGGCCUAGUAUGGUUCUCAAUCAGAGGCAGGUGUCAUUGGUUGUCUCUGAUUGAGAAUCAUACUUAGGUAGCCUGGGUUUCACUGUGUGUUUGUGGGUGAUUGUUCCUGUCUCUGUGUGUGCACCAGAUAGGACUGUUUUGAGUUUUCACAUUUCUUGUUUUUGUUAGUUUGUUCUUGUGUAGUGAUUUAUUAAAAAGAACCAUGGACAAUUA